rnacentral:snoRNA from 1 species
ACCCUUCAGAUUCCCAACCCCUCAGAUCUAAACAUCGGUCUGAGUGACUAUAAAAGGAGGGGAAAUAAAACAGAAACGGACUUGGAUUCUCUAGUGACAUAUAAGUUCAUUUCACAUGAAC